rnacentral:ncRNA from 1 species
UUCUUCAGGGCAGGGUGCAAUUCCCGACCGGCGGUAAAGUCCGCGAGCCAUUAGGGCAGAAUUGGUGUGAUUCCAAUACCGACAGUAAAGUCUGGAUGAAAGAAGAUA